rnacentral:tRNA from 1 species
GCCGAGGUGGUGGAAUUGGCAGACACGCGAGACUUAAAAUCUCGUGAGGGUAACCCCCUCGUGCGGGUUCAACUCCCGACCCCGGCA